GCCAGCCUCCGUGCAAGCUGCUGUCUGGAAAAGCAGGGGCGACGUCAGAUGUAUCAUCACAAGAUACUUCCCAAGAUAAACAGACUUUUUUUUUCUGACUCCUGCUUUUCCAGCUGAGGCCUGGCUGUUUCCUCUUUCUUCUUUUAAAACAAUCUUUCUUGAAGGCGUUUCUCUUCUUUCCUGCCUUUGAGUGAUAGGGCUGACAUCUGGGAAGAAGGCAGUGAUCUCCUCCUUCAAAGGGUACAUCUCCAUCAGACCUGAAAGUUGUUUAAAAUAAGAUGCUGCCGCUGGAGCUCGGAGUCAAGGUGUGGAGUGCACAAGCCAGACUUCUGGCUCCCGGGGGACUGGAAAUAAGAACGCGGUGCCAGUGAAGAAGAGGACACAUGAAGGCUUGCCCUCCCCCGUGGAAACUCAUCCCUCCCCCCCUGUGUGUAUGUGACGGCGUGUAUGUAGCGGCUUCUGCGUUCUGUGAAAGCUGCCCAGCAACAAACGUACUUCCACCGGAUCCAUGCCCAGAUCCACAGCAGGCACAUAUCUCUCCAAGGGAUGACCGAUCUUAUUGUGACUGACUGUGCUUUUCGUUCUCUUGUUGUGGUAUACCGUCCUUUCCCUCCAGCUGGAACCCUUCUUCCCAUGGCACCCCGACACAGGCCUUCAGCCCCACCCCCACACUCAGGCUCUCCCCUCUCAAGUACCAUGAGCAGAGAUGUACCACGGUUUGGCUUCCAGCCUUUCCCCCUUGCCAAGUCACAUUUCCUUACAACCAAGUUUUCUCCUCCCAGGUAAGCAGCUAUUACCAGCGAACACCAACCUGCCAGUUAAAGAGCCUGCAUUUUCUGAAACAUCAGUUUUACUGAAAUGGUUUGUAGUCGAGGGAUGACCUUAUUUUUAGAUAAAACAGCUACAUUAUGAAAUAGAGUAUUCAUACACACAGUUAAGAUAAAAUGGGACACUUCACAGGGAAUUCUUAUUUGCAAGUGGGGUACAUGUUCCCUGUCCUCUGCCUUUAGUGGUAUUUUGGUGUUCACUUCUGAGAAGUACAAUCGCUACUGUAUCCAGGCAGCUGACCAGGGCCUAGACCCUUAGUCGCCCGCACAGGGAGAAGCCCCUCUCCUGCUGCCCGCCUGCCUGCGACCUUUGUACCCAUCUCAGAGCGUUAGGGCCAGCGGGUGUGUGCGUGUGUGCAGGAUGGUUCUGAGGCAGAAACAGUACUUUAGGAACCCUGUCUAUGUCAUUGUUCAGUACUGUGCGUGCUAUAAAAUUCUUUGAGGCCAGGAAGCUACCAGGUGUAUAUGCUUCUGGGUUAAGAUUAUCUUAGCUCUCUAAAUAUGUUAGGAUGUUAGGACUGAGAGUGCUUUGGGCUAUUUAAAAAAAAAAAAAGUAUUUUUCUCUCAAACUGGUGGCCAACAAAUGGCUCAGACUGUUUCUCGGUGCUUUACCUAUCUGCCUGCAAAGACUGGAGAAUUUGGCAUACCACUAGUUACAACCCCCAACCAUAUCCCACAGAACUAUCCAUAAAGAAGGACCAGGGGCCACUCUUAUAAGAGUUUAAAAGCCAGAAGAUGAAGAAGACUUUAGGAUCUGGAUGCUUGUGUUUGUCUUUCCCCAAUAAUUAUUGUUUAAUCUCCAAAUAGCAGCCUUAUCUUCACAAUGGACAGACCAUUGGCUCCUCCCUUCCUGAUUGUAUGUUAUUACUUAAAAUCAGUAUUUGGGAAACCCAGGCAUUUAUGCAGUGGAUAUGAACAGAAAUCUAAAAAUACAUGCCAGCUUGUCUCAAUAUAUUAUCAUAUCUCUGUGAUCCUCAAGGAAAGCACUUUUGCUUUUACUUAAGAUUUCAGAUUUGCUUUAUGGGCUCCUGCUGUCUCCAGCACCUGAUAAAACUUUAACCAGGGAAGCAUUAAACACGGCACAGCAGCUUCUGCCCCGGCUCCUGAGUCCCCGCCAGCAGCAUUUAGCGGUGUAAGAACCGGGGUGCUUCCUGCCGUGGCACCAGCUUCCCCCAGAGCUGGAGCGCGCUGCUCUGCCCUAAGCGCCAGCAGGAUGCGGCUUCCCUCCUGCCAGGUCAGUAAAAGUAAGAGAGCUCGGAAGCUCACCAGCUGCAGGCUUCAGGUUUGCAGAAGUCCCCGGGGAGAAGUCAUCAAGGGCGGCAGGUAAUGAAUGUCUCCAGAAUGAGUUGGGUCCUCACAGCAAUCCCUGGCUGCUUUCCAAAUCUGGGUUCUCUGGAGGCUGAGAGUGGGUUUGUCCUUUGAUUUGGUGUCAAGAAAUGCAGGGCAAUUCCAAGAAGUUCUCUUAGGAGUCUCAGCUCUGACAGCCCAGGAGGGGAAAUGACCUGUAUUGAGGACCAGCUGUGAGCUGGGCCCUGUAUUUGGCCCCCAUUUGUUAGAUGAUAGAACAGAUGUGGAGUAAUAGAGCCCCUUGCCUUGAGUGACACAGCUAGGAAAUGCUGGAGCUCUCCCUCACUUCGUGGUGGUCCGUGGUACAUCUACAGUCCGGAGGGAGGAAAAGGCUUCCGGUUCCCCCACUGCAGUCUGACUAUCCCACCUUAUGGAUUCGUUUUCAAAGUUACAUUUCAUGGCUACCGUUUGGGCUCAGAAAUGGCAUCAAGGUGGCCUCCCUCUUCCACCUUAGCAGGUAUAUGAAGUAUACAUUGCUAACUUGAGCUUGCCCCCAGGAGCUGGGGCAGCCUUUCCUUUUUGGUGCCAUUCCCCAUAAAUAGUGUUUCUAGGCCUUCAAGAGUAUAGAAGUUCUCAGAAAUAGUAAAAGCAGAGGGUGUUCUGCUCUCUAAGUUUAUCCAAAAAUGUCUGGUGCUGCAAUCCUACAGAACAGGAAAUCUUCAGAUUUGAGCCCAGCCAGUGCUGUGCUCUGAGAGGCUGUGUUAACUCCGAGUCGCUGAUGUGUGUAUGUGCGCACACGAUAUGCACGCAUAUGUGUAUACACACACACGCAUGCAGUUUAAGAACUAAGGGGAAUUCAGAGCAGCUGCUCGUUGCCAUUACCCCUGCAGAGGUUUCUGCCAGCCCUGAUCACAAGCGUCCCCAGAUAGUCGGAGCCUCGGUGCUUGCCCCUUGGCGAAGGUUGUCAGCUCCUAAGCCAUCGUGGCAGCCCUGAGGGGACUUGCCCAGGCCUGCUCCAAUGUGUCUAAGGGUUUGGGAAAUUUGGAUGACCCGGGGGUCUGCCCACUCAGGUCAGGCCUGAAGGCACAGCUGCUGAGUUUAUGACUUGUGGUCGUGGCAGGGCAUAGGAAAUCCCCUCGCCCACCUAGAAAAUAUUCCCUUGCCAAUACCCGAAUUCCAUACUCACACAAUGGCCGCUCAGUACAUGCUUUGUAAUAAGAACAUCGGUUGCAUGUUUACUCUGUGCCUAGCACAUCUGAAAUUUUCUAUUUAAAACACAAAUCUCAUUAUGAAUGACCUCGGCCCAGCCUUAGGAGAGAAAGAAGGCCCAUAGGGGAGAGUUGAGAUCUCGUUACUGUUGCCUCUACCCAGCAGCAUUCUGAAGACCCCACCCCAGCCCAUUCCGAGACCCAGAGGCCCAGGGGACCUGCCUGGUAGAACAGUAGCGUUGGGAACUGAGAACACACCCGAAACAGCAGAGCAAGUGCCAGAGCAGGAAAAGGAAAACGAAUUAAGACACUUGUGGGCAUGCUGGUGCACAAAAUGCCACAGAGCCCAUGCUGGGCUUGAUGUGACCUUGAGGGGACAGUAGAUUGACAUUAAUGGGAGUCAAAUCUGACCAGUCUUUGUACAGUGACAGGCCACACUGCAUGGGGGUGGGGGGGACAGCCGACGAACCCAUUGUCCUCUGCCUGUUUUCCCGUGCACAGUCACAUUCCCUCCUUAGUCACCUUCCCCUUUCACCCUUCAUAUUAAACAAGGGAACACUCGAUCUUUCAAGGGAAUUACACAUUUGAGUUAAUGUUUCAGUAUAUCAUUUUCAUACUGUAAAUUAUUUUGUAAGAGAGAUUUACCGCUAUCCCAGGAUGUUUGGACUCCGCACCCCUGUGCAUUUGGAAAUCAAUAAACUAUUACUGGAAAUGCCA
ensembl:lncRNA